rnacentral:rRNA from 1 species
GUCGUAACAAGGUUUCCGUAGGUGAACCUGCGGAAGGAUCAUUCGCACAUAAAUCCAACCACAUUCCUGUGAAUUCUUUGGUGAGGGUCUGCGCGAGAGGUUCACGCCUCAGUGCAAACGCUCAAGGGUGGUGGGGCGAGCUUCGGAACGUCCUCCGACUCGUUCUCACUGCCAGCUCUCGCUGCAAAGCACAUCUUUGAUGUCAUUUUUUCACUUUCAUGUCGAUGGCUCUCUCGGGCCACGUCUACUCAUUCACAACUUUCAGCGAUGGAUGUCUCGGUUCGAUCAACGAUGAAGGGCGCAGCGAAGUGCGAUAAGCAUUGUGAAUUGCAGAAUUCCGUGAACCGACAGGGACUUGAACGCAUAUUGUGCUUUUGGGAUAUCCCUGAAAGCAUGCCUGCUUCAGUGUCUACGCUUUAUUGUUCCAGCAGCUGUAGCUCCUUACGGGGCAUGCUGCUCGUGAUCUCCUGCACCUCAGGACGUGCUCUCGGCGCUCUUGAGGUGUUCGAUGGACAAGGCCCUGCUUCGACAGCCAGCUUACUGAGCGCACUUCGGUGUCAUUUGGUUGCUGCGCGAUGUUGGGGCUUGAGGCUUUGCUUUCCUUUUUCCUGUGCCUCGCCCUCUGGGUGUGGCACAGCUUUCAAGACAUGAAGUCAGGUUGGCAAACCCGCUGAAUUUAAGCAUAUAAGUAAGCGGAGGACAAGAAACUAAAUAGGAUUCCCUUAGUAAUGGCGAAUGAACAGGGAUGAGCUCAACUUGAUAAUUGUGGCUUCUGGCUUUGAAUUGUAAUCUCAAGAUGUAGUGCUAAGGAGGGCGUAGGUGUAAGCCUCUUGGAAAAGAGAAUCAUUGAGGGUGAGAAUCCUGUUUGUCACCUGCAGUCCCUCCUGUACGGCCUACCUUCUAAGAGUCACGUUCCUCGGGAUUGGAGCGCAAACUGGGUGGUAAAUUUCAUCUCAAGCUAAAUAUGGGUUCGAAACCGAUAGCAAACAAGUACCAUGAGGGAAAGAUGAAAAGGACUUUGAAAAGAGAGUUAAAAGUGCCUGAACUUGCUGAAAGGAAAGCGGAUGGAACCAGUCUUGCUUGGCGAGAUUGUUGCGUGCUAUGGUGAUGGCCUGCUGCAUCAGCGCAAGCGUUGCUGUGGGUUUGAUCUUGUUGCGCGCGAUGCUUCUUGCCUUGUGUGUCAUCGUCGGUUCGAUGGUGAGGACAACCCUUGGGACUUGGUAGCCUACCUCCGGGUGGGUGAAUGUGCCUUGUGGAACUCACCUUUGAACUGCAAACCGAAUGUGCGAUUGCGUUGCCACGAGCUUUCGCGGGCUUUCUCACGAUUGCUCUGCUUUUGCUCUGCACCUUUUGCACACAGCUAUGGUGACUAAAUGGUUCUAUUCGACCCGUCUUGAAACACGGACCAAGGAGUCUAACAUAUGUGCGAGUUCUUGGGUGUCGAAACCUACGUGCGCAAUGAAAGUGAGUACUGAGAUCUUUGCAUCAGCAGCCGACCGAUCGAUUGGGAGAGGUUUGAGCAUGAGCAUAUCUGUUAGGACCCGAAAGAUGGUGAACUAUGCGUGA